rnacentral:rRNA from 1 species
AUAAAAAAAAAAAACACGCCGAUCUCGUCGAUCUCGUCCGAUCUCGGAAGCUAAGCAGGGUCGGGCCUGGUUAGUACUUGGAUGGGAGACCGCCUGGGAAUACCAGGUGCUGUA